AUUGAACGCUGGCGGCAGGCCUAACACAUGCAAGUCGAGCGGAUGAAGGGAGCUUGCUCCUGGAUUCAGCGGCGGACGGGUGAGUAAUGCCUAGGAAUCUGCCUGGUAGUGGGGGAUAACGUCCGGAAACGGGCGCUAAUACCGCAUACGUCCUGAGGGAGAAAGUGGGGGAUCUUCGGGCCUCACGCUAUCAGAUGAGCCUAGGUCGGAUUAGCUAGUUGGUGGGGUAAAGGCCUACCAAGGCGACGAUCCGUAACUGGUCUGAGAGGAUGAUCAGUCACACUGGAACUGAGACACGGUUCAGACUCCUACGGGAGGCAGCAGUGGGGAAUAUUGGACAAUGGGCGAAAGCCUGAUCCAGCCAUGCCGCGUGUGUGAAGAAGGUCUUCGGAUUGUAAAGCACUUUAAGUUGGGAGGAAGGGCAGUAAGUUAAUACCUUGCUGUUUUGACGUUACCAACAGAAUAAGCACCGGCUAACUUCGUG
rnacentral:rRNA from 1 species